rnacentral:rRNA from 1 species
UACGUAGGGUGCGAGCGUUAAUCGGAAUUACUGGGCGUAAAGCGUGCGCAGGCGGUUUUGUAAGCCAGGUGUGAAAUCCCCGGGCUCAACCUGGGAAAUGGCAUUUGGGACUGCAAGGCUGGAGUGCGGCAGAGGAGACUGGAAUUCCUGGUGUAGCAGUGAAAUGCGUAGAUAUCUGGAGGAAUACCGGUGGCGAAGGCGCAUCCUGGAC